GAUGAUGGACUUAUUGCUCCUACUCUUACCAACUGCACUGCUCCAUUUAUAAAUAGAGCAAGCUACCAUGUUAUCUUUCAAAUCCCAUUUCAGAAAGAAAAAAGAGCAAGGAUUUAGCAUUUAGCAGCAAUGGCUCCAGGUCAGGAAGAGCAACAAAACCAACAAGGUGGCCACCAAAAUCUUCAACAGAGUCUUGCUAUUUACAAGGAUAUUCUUGAAACAAAGGAGCCUGAACCAAAACAGGAGUAGCAAAACCUAGUUGGUAGACACCAGGAAAUUGGACACAAGAGUCUCUUACAGAGUGAUGCUCUUUACCAGUAUAUACUGGAAACUAGCGUUUAUCCUAGAGAGCCUGAACCACUGACAGAGCUCCGUGAAUUGACGGCAAACCAUCCAUGGAACAUCAUGACGACAUCAGCUGAUGAAGGGCAAUUUUUGAGCAUGCUUCUUAAGCUCAUCAACGCCAAGAACACUAUGGAAAUUGGUGUUUACACUGGCUACUCACUUCUUGCCACUGCUCUUGCUCUUCCUGAUGAUGGCAAGAUAUUAGCCAUGGACAUCAAUCGUGAAAACUACGAAUUGGGUCUACCUGUUAUUGAAAAAGCUGGUGUUGCUCACAAGAUUGAUUUCAGAGAAGGCCCUGCACUUCCAGUUCUUGAUCAAUUGAUCCAAGAUGAAAAAUGCCAUGGAACAUUUGAUUUUAUCUUUGUGGAUGCUGAUAAAGACAAUUACCUUAACUACCACAAGAGGACCAUUGAGCUUGUGAAGGUUGGAGGACUUAUCGGCUAUGACAAUACCCUGUGGAAUGGCUCUGUGGCUGCACCUCCUGAUGCACCAUUAAGGAAAUAUGUCAGGUUCUAUCUUGAUUAUGUUUUGCAGUUCAACAAGGCUAUAGCUGCUGAUCCAAGAGUCGAGAUUUGCCAGCUUCCUGUUGGUGAUGGGAUUACUCUGUGCCGCCGCAUUAGCUGAUCAUUUUAAUGGAGUUUUGUGUAAUGCUGCAAUUGUUUGAUUGAAACAAUUCAAGUAUGGAACAAUUCACAAAGGGUCUAGGGUUAGUAAUCCACCCAGUAGUUGAAUCCCUAGCACAGAAAAUUAAGGCUCACAGAGUUCCAAGUUAUGUGUUUUUGAAUUUUAAUUAAUAUCUCAAUAAUAUAUCAGAUUUUCAGAAAAA